rnacentral:rRNA from 1 species
AGCUGGAAUCGCUAGUAAUCGCGAAUCAGAAUGUCGCGGUGAAUACGUUCCCGGGUCUUGUACACACCGCCCGUCACACCAUGGGAGUCGGAUAUGCCCGAAGUCAGUGACCCAACCAUAUGGAGGGAGCUGCCGAAGGUGGAGCCGAUAACUGGGGUGAAGUCGUAACAAGGUAGC